rnacentral:rRNA from 1 species
UACGGGGGGGGCAAGCGUUGUUCGGAAUUACUGGGCGUAAAGGGCUCGUAGGCGGCCAACUAAGUCCGACGUGAAAUCCCAAGGCUUAACCUUGGAACUGCGUCGGAUACUGGAUGGCUUGAAUUCGGGAGAGGGAUGCAGAAUUCCAGGUGUAGCGGUGAAAUGCGUAGAUAUCAGGAGGAACACCGGUGGUGUAGGCGGCUCACUGGACCGUAACUGACGCUGAGACACGAAAGCGUGGGUAGCAAACAGG